UGCUUGCGGGGUACUCGAGUGGCGAAGGGUGAGUAACACGUGGGUGAUCUGCCCUGCACUUCGGGAUAAGCCUGGGAAACUGGGUCUAAUACCGGAUAGGACCACAUUUUGGAUGGUGUGGUGGAAAGUUUUUCGGUGUGGGAUGAGCUCGCGGCCUAUCAGCUUGUUGGUGGGGUAAUGGCCUACCAAGGCGUCGACGGGUAGCCGGCCUGAGAGGGUGUACGGCCACAUUGGGACUGAGAUACGGCCCAGACUCCUACGGGAGGCAGCAGUGGGGAAUAUUGCACAAUGGGCGCAAGCCUGAUGCAGCGACGCCGCGUGGGGGAUGACGGCCUUCGGGUUGUAAACUCCGUUCGCUAGGGACGAAGCGUAUUUGUGACGGUCCCUGGAGAAGAAGCACCGGCUAUAUACGUGCCAACAGCCGGG
rnacentral:rRNA from 2 species